rnacentral:rRNA from 1 species
GACGAACGCUGGCGGCGUGCUUAACACAUGCAAGUCGAACGAAGUGGCGAACGGGUGAGUAACGCGUAAUUAACCUGCCCUUCAGAGGGGGACAACAGUUGGAAACGACUGCUAAUACCGCAUACUGAAGGAGGGGAUUGCGUCUGAUUAGCUAGUUGGAGGGGUAACGGCCCACCAAGGCGAUGAUCAGUAGCCGGUCUGAGAGGAUGAACGGCCACAGUGGGACUGAGAAACGGCCCAACAUCCGACGGGAGGGAGCAGUGGGGAAUCUUCCGCAAGGGAGGAAAGUCUGACGGAGCAACGCCGCGUGAGGGAUGACGGCCUUCGGGUUGUAAAGCUCUGUUAAUCGGGACGCGGUACCGGAAGAGAAAGCCACGGCUAACUACGUGCCAGCCGCCGCGGUAAUAC